AACGCUGGCGGCGUGGAUAAGACAUGCAGUCGAACGGGAACUGGCGGGUAGCAAUAUCUUNCGUUCUAGUGGCGAAAGGGUGCGUAACACGUGGGUAAUUUGCCGUGAAGUCGGGAACAACUUGCCGAAAGGUGAGCUAAUACCGGAUGUGAUUAUCUUUUGGCAUCAUUGGAUAAUUAAAGCUGGGGACCGNAAGGACUGNCGCUUCAUGAUAAGCCCGCGCCCUAUCAGCUUGUUGGUGA
rnacentral:rRNA from 1 species